rnacentral:rRNA from 1 species
GAUGAACGCUGGCGGCGUGCCUAAUACAUGCAAGUCGAGCGAACGGACGAGAAGCUUGCUUUUCUGAUGUUAGCGGCGGACGGGUGAGUAACACGUGGAUAACCUACCUAUAAGACUGGGAUAACUUCGGGAAACCGGAGCUAAUACCGGAUAAUAUUUUGAACCGCAUGGUUCAAAAGUGAAAGACGGUCUUGCUGUCACUUAUAGAUGGAUCCGCGCUGCAUUAGCUAGUUGGUGAGGUAACGGCUUACCAAGGCAACGAUGCAUAGCCGACCUGAGGGGGUGAUCGGCCACACUGGAACUGAGACACGGUCCAGACUCCUACGGGAGGCAGCAGUAGGGAAUCUUCCGCAAUGGGCGAAAGCCUGACGGAGCAACGCCGCGUGAGUGAUGAAGGUCUUCGGAUCGUAAAACUCUGUUAUUAGGGAAGAACAUAUGUGUAAGUAACUGUGCACAUCUUGACGGUACCUAAUCAGAAAGCCACGGCUAACUACGUG